AAAUGAAAGACUAAAUCUUACUGUCCUCUUCUUUUCAUUUCCACCAAACUAAAAUCACCAUUGUUACUCUACAAAACUCUGUCACUCCGUUUGAGAUAGGUGGUGAUUUUUCUAAUACAUAUUCGCCUUCAUUGGAAUAGCUUGAGAAAAAUUUCAAAUAAAAUUAGCAUAGUUUGGAAGAAUAUGAAUAUAUACGAAAGAGAGCAGAUACAAGAAGUAACAAUUGAGAUAUAUUCAGUCACUUUGAUCAUAUGAACCAGCCUCUUCUUCUUCAUCAUUUUCUCUCUGUUUCUUUAAUUAAAAAAAUUCUAAUUUGUAUGAGGUAAGUCUAAACUAGAAGCUCCUGCUCCCCAAGAUGAGGUACCAUUCAAAGCAAAACCCUAACUCACACCUUCUUUUGGAUUUUUAGUGUAGGCAGUUAAAAUGUCAAAUGUCAAUUUCUUCAAGGAAGAGACUGAUGAUUGAUUUCAAUAGGUUACAGUAGGACCCUCCUGAAGGUAAUCCUCGAAUUUUUAAUUUUAUGAAGUCAUUAAUAAUUAAAUGGAUAAAAGUAGGAGUUCUGUCAAAUAAAUCGGGAUGGACUGGGAGUUUUUUUGUCUUGAAUUGCAGAAUAAAAAAUGGAAAGAUUGUGCAUUGUCUAUGUUGCUUUAUUAUCACAAGUUUCGACUUCAGUUGAUUAUUGCUUAAUGCAUUUAUUACCUGUAUAUCUUCCCUAAUAAAAUGUAUUACCUUAAAAGUUUAUGAGACUACAUAUAAAGUCUUUAGUCUUACAAGGUUAGAAUGUGUAAUGUUACCUGGAGUCAGUAGAACUGAAAUACCAUAAAAAUCUGAUUCAUGCAUAAUUGAGUUGAACAAUGAGAAGAUAUUUUUUGGGGUGCCUAUUGAGGAAUAUACUAGUGUAAAAUUCAUCUGAUUUUUCAUAGAAAAAUAUGCUUAGUGAUCAUUAUCAUUCUUGGUAAGAGAAGGUUUUGUCAGACAUUUGGAGGGCAAAUCCGUAAUUUCAUCUUCUCCCUUCUUUCUUUCUUACGGCGUGUCCUCACAUUCUCCCUUCCUUUCUUUCUUUGAUGCAUGUUCUCACAUUGGUGGAGAAUGAUCCACGCUUGCAUCUUUGAUUUCUACAUUUGUUAUUUUGAAGAAAUUUUCUUUAUGUUCCAUGGAAAACAAUAUAUAUUCAAUUUCUGUCCUAAAUUGGGAGACGAAGUUCCAGUUUCUCCCAUGAACAAAAAGGUACACUUCCAUUCUCUGCCUCAUUUGUUUCCUGUGUUUCCUAUUUCCCAUUCAUUACUUUUCUAUGUUUCCUAUUUGCCAUUCAUUAAUUUCCUGGUGUUUUCUUUCGCUCGGAUGUUUUCCCUAAAAACACUUACUGUACAUGCAUCUUUUUGUCUUUGUUUUCUUGGUUUCUGUAUUAUUCAAUGUUUUGUUUGCUAAUUUCAAUUGUUAAUUUUGCUGGUUUGUUGAAUCCGCAAUAUAUUUUGAACUUUGAUUUUCCUUUUCUUUUCUCUGUUUGCUUAUUUAUUUCACUUUUCCCCAAUCUUUUAAUAUAGUGGAUUUAUUUGUUUUGUCAUGUGUUUUGACACACAUUAAUCUAUCUGAAAAGCUUGUUCCCUCUUAGUGUUCGUAAAAUUUCUUCAGUUAAAUAGAUUGUCCUGUUGUGGUUUAUCAAAAUAAGGACUUUGAAACAUAUAGUGUUGAAGGAUGUGAUAUACGUUUGUUACUUUAGCUUGAUCAAACUUAUGCUUAUCACUUAUCAAUGAAUGAACGUCGACUGAAGUUACAACUUGCUAUGUAAUUAUUAUUUGUUCAUCCACAUUUUAGAAAAAGUUUAUCAAGUCUUAGAUCCUACAGAGAAAAAUGCGCGAAAAUAAUUCUCAUUUUUUCACCUUUUUGUUAACUUUCAUGUUUUGAAGAGCUUAGGUAAUUUUGGAAGGACCCAAGGUAGUAUAAGAGACUCAGUGGAAAGUAUAGCCUAUUAAAAAAAUCAAAUGAACAAAGUUAUUUUAUGUUUUGCUUUUACAUCUGAUUGAGAAUGUCAAAGUCUCUUUCUUGUUUCUUUAAAACUUUGUUCUUGGUUGAGUGUUAUUUGUGGUAUAUUAAUUUGACAGCUAAUUUUAGGACACAUCUAUACUACUUGCGAAACUCAUAUGAUAAUAAUAUUGAAUUUAGGGAUAUAGUUAUAGUUGCCUGCACCAUUAAGAAUAUCUUGAUUUCAUGCUACUCUCAUAUGGUUGAUGCUUGCAGGUAAAUAUUUUGUUUAUUGUUUUUGACACUGCAACAUUAAUAUCUACUGUUGCAUAGCUAAUUUCUAUCAUUUUUCGUCUAUUUACUAGGGGGAUCGAAAGCACAUACUUAUUGGUUACCCUAAGGACAUGAUAUUAACUUUACGAUUUAUGUAAAAUUCAAGGUUCUUGGAUUUAGGAAAAUGUCGGUAAUUGAAAUUGUAUUGUUGCCAAAAGUAUACUCGAUCUAUUGUAUUGAGCGAUGAAUAUUUUUUUGUACUAUUGUCAUAUUAUUGGUAUGUAUUUGGCUUUGUGGAAAUUAUUAAUAGUAGAGAUCUUUAUUAAAUUGUUUUCUUAGUAUUGGUUGUACAAGACAUGUUUUUCAAAGUUUAUUUGAAC
rnacentral:lncRNA from 1 species